UUGGGAACUUGCUGGAUCAUUAUAGUCAUGGAAUUCCUGAAAUGCAGGAUAUGGAAAAGUUCCCCAUGGCUAACCCGCUUCGCUUCUUUCCAAACUCUUUGUUUUAUUUCUUCUUUUUUCCCUAGCUAAAAGUUCCUCGUUCAUCUUGUGCUUCUUGGCUCAGCUGAGGAGAAGAAACAAUACAAACCACGUUGUCCAAUAUCCUCAGUUAAAUUCCAAAGAUCCAAUUGAAAGACGGAGGACACUGGUUUCAUAUUGAGAGCAUUCUCUCAGUUAAAUUCUAUUCUCGUCAAUGAGACAUCGUCACCGAGUCGCUUGGAUCCCCAUCUAUCGAAAGCUUUACUCUUCCGAAAAGUUCGUUCUCUCAAGCGCUCUUUUCGAAUUCAUCAACUCUGUUCAACUGCAGCCAUAGUCCAGCAAUGUUCAACCAUCCAGCUUCCUCCAUUCUCUCAUCGAACUCUCGACAAUGAAAUUUUGUUUUCAAUUCAUUUCAUUGUUCAAGUGUUUGUAACUGGUGAAUGUUUCAAUUGCUACUAUGGAGGAGGCCAGUGCGCGACUAAUAGCAGAAAUAAUUUCCGUUGUUCAACUUCAACUGCACCAAAAGUUUCAGAAGAAAGCAAGAGACUAGGCUGAUAGGCGAAAAAGGGAUUCCAGCUUUGAAAAUCAAGUAAGUAGGAAUCUCGCCUACAGUAUAAAUAGAUUUUAAAGUAA